GUAAGGUGAUAUGAACCGUUAUAACCGGCGAUUUCCGAAUGGGGAAACCCAGUGUGAUUCGUCACACUAUCAUUAACUGAAUCCAUAGGUUAAUGAGGCGAACCGGGGGAACUGAAACAUCUAAGUACCCCGAGGAAAAGAAAUCAACCGAGAUUCCCCCAGUAGCGGCGAGCGAACGGGGAGCAGCCCAGAGCCUGAAUCAGUGUGUGUGUUAGUGGAAGCGUCUGGAAAGGCG
rnacentral:rRNA from 1 species